UUUAAUUGUUUUUACAAUAUAACAAGCAACCUUCUUCUUUCUUCCAACAAAAACCUUAGCCGUCACACACCCCUCUCUUCUUCUCUCUCUGUUUCUCUUUUCUCUUCUUUCUCUCAUUGUUAUUUUUUACGUUAGAUUGAUUUGUGUAGAGAUCCUUUUUUCUUACAACUCGUGGUAAUGACUUGUUUUAUUGAAUGUGUUCACAGUAACAUUUUUUGCAAAUAUGAUUUGUUUGCUGUGUUUCAGAUUAUAAAAAUUUGGGUAAAGCAGCUUACUGCAUCUUUGUUGUUGUGUAUGGUUCACUUAUGCCAUUUUUCUUUGGUUAUGUUAUAACGUAGGUUCAUGGCCCUUUUUCUUUUGUUGUUGUGUAUGGUUCACUUGAGCCAUCCUAUGUGAACCGAGAGCAUGAUUUUUUCUACACAUUGCAUGAGAUCCUAGCUGUUGUGGAUGAAGUUAAUGAGCUGCAACCAAUUUCGGACGCUCAUGUCCCAGUUAUGAGGUUCAAGUUUGAUGGAAUAGUUGGAGAAAAACCAGUUGAAGUUAGUACCGAGUGAAUUUUUUUUUAUGGUGUAUAAUUGUCUUUUUCUGCUCUAAAUGGGACAAGUUUCAAGGGACAUGAGUAGGGAGAAGAACAAGAAUGUGGAUUCAAUGGUUUUCCAUGUGUUUGUUGUAAUUAGAUGUGAGGAACAAAAUUUUAAAUGAUUUUGAAGAGUCUUGUUUAUAUAUACUGUAUAGAUUAGAUGUGUAGUUAAUAAUGUUUUGGGUUGAUUUAGAAUGAUAUUUUCUCUUGGGUUGUUUGUA